ensembl:lncRNA
CUCUUUCUCUGAUCUGGACAAGCAGGACUGACAGGAACCCUAGGCAGAAGACCCAUAUGGACAGUCAUCAGCCUCUGCUAAAACAUUUUGACUGCAGAUCAGCCUUAAGGACAAGCUUGGUCUUGAUUUGCUAAAUGGGGCAUGCAAGAAUUUGGACAAAUCCUUUCUCAAGAAAAUAGCCUGCCAUGCUGGGCAUUGUCUGGUUGCACAAUCUGACUUCUAAUGUCAAGAGCUGAAUAUUACCUACUCUUUCUCUGCUUAUCUCUGCUUUAAUUUUAAUCUCCUCUCAGAUGGAUGGAUAUUCAGGUCAGAUUAGGGUGGAAGUUUUAGGAAGGCAAAAAGACAAAAUAACAUUAGAGUUUAAAAUUAUUUGUCAUGGAAAAUCUGCAUUUUUCUAUGACUCAUUCUGCUUUAGGAUUAUAAUUGUCCUUCAGUAUCUAUGGGAGUUUGGCUCCAAAAGCCUCAAGGACACCAAAAUCCACUAAGCUCAGGGCCUUUAUAUAAAUGUCAAAGUAUUUGCAUAUAACCUAAGUAUAUCCUCCUACAUACUUUAAGUCAUCUCUAUACAGCAUUGAAUACAAUAUAAAUGCUAUAUGAAGAGUUUUCAUACUACAUUGUCUAGAGAGUAAUGACAGAAAAAAUACAAACAUAUUCAGUAUGGAUGCAAUUUAAAAAGUUUUAUGAUCUGCCACUGAUUGAAUCCACAAAUAUGGAACUCAUGGAUAUAGAGCCUCACUGUACACAAGAACUCUGGUAUCUUGUUAGCAUGUAUUUUCCUCCUGGACAAAGGAAGGCUAGGUGUCAUUUCCACACCCUCUGACUUAGUUUCAUUUGCUGGCCUUCUAGCAAAAGUAGAAUAUAACAGACUCUAUAUUGCCGCUUACUAUACUUGUAUUAUGCUUAUCAAAUUUAGUACCUAUUGUAUCACUUAGGAAUUGCACUUGAUUAUAAAUGAAAUACAAAAUCAAUCACCUUAAAUUAAAUUUUUUUUCUAUCUAAUAAAAGUAUAGUCAUAGUUUACCCUGCAGUUAGACUGAGCCAUAUGAAUUGUUCUGACUAAUAGACUGUAGGGAAAAUGAAAUGUCUCCUUUCUGGGGUGAAGCAUAAAAAAGCAGCCAGGGAUGCUCAGUGGCACAGUGCUUACCUUAUAAGCACUUGGUCCUGAGUUCAACCCUCAGUACUGCAAAAAAAAAAAAAGCAGUCAUGACAACUGCUGAACAUAUGCAUUUGAGAUGGUGUAGCAAGGUGGUAGAGCUGCUGCCCCCCAAUCCCUACGUGAUAUAUGCAUCAGAGCUACCCUAACAACCUGCAAUGGGUGUGAAGUGAGAAAUAACUUUUGUCAUGUUAAGCCUUUGAUAUGCUGGAAUUCAAUUGUUACUGCAGCAUAAUCUAAUCUGAUCAAUACAAAUGAGACAGGCAAAGGACAAAAGGCACAUGUCUGUUUCCUUCCAUCCAUUUUUAAGGAUAUUUUAUGGAAGCCACAUUCAAUGUCAUUAACUUAUUAACCAGAGGUCUCUUAUAGGGUGUUAUUGUUUAGAUCUAAAAUGUCUCCCAUGUAUGUACCAACUCCCUAUGAUGAAUGUAAUCAUGAUGUACUGCAAACAUAUAC